AUUGAACGCUGGCGGCAGGCCUAACACAUGCAAGUCGGACGGUAGCACAGAGAGCUUGCUCUCGGGUGACGAGUGGCGGACGGGUGAGUAAUGUCUGGGGAUCUGCCCGAUAGAGGGGGAUAACCACUGGAAACGGUGGCUAAUACCGCAUAACGUCGCAAGACCAAAGAGGGGGACCUUCGGGCCUCUCACUAUCGGAUGUACCCAGAUGGGAUUAGCUAGUAGGCGGGGUAACGGCCCACCUAGGCGACGAUCCCUAGCUGGUCUGAGAGGAUGACCAGCCACACUGGAACUGAGACACGGUCCAGACUCCUACGGGAGGCAGCAGUGGGGAAUAUUGCACAAUGGGCGCAAGCCUGACGCAGCCAUGCCGCGUGUAUGAAGAAGGCCUUCGGGUUGUAAAGUACUUUCAGCGGGGAGGAAGGCGAUGUGGUUAAUAACCGCAUUGAUUGACGUUACCCGCAGAAGAAGCACCGGCUAACUCCGUGCCAGCAGCCGCGGUAA
rnacentral:rRNA from 1 species